rnacentral:tRNA from 1 species
GCCUGGGUGGUUUAGUCGUUUGAGCAUCUGACUUCAGCUCAGGUCAUGAUCUCAUGAUUUGUGGGUUUGAGUCCCGCCUCAGGCU